rfam:Lachnospiraceae bacterium 28-4 genomic scaffold acPFn-supercont1.2, whole genome shotgun sequence.
UUGUGAAGGAAAAUGAGAUUUUCUUAAUAUUCCGUCCGAAAACAGCAAUUUGGUGACAUGGAUGUCACCAAAAGCCCGCAAUGAGCCUGGAUGGCGAAUAGCGGGCGGUUGCGUCCGUUUGCUGCUAUUUUACCGGAAUAUUUAGAAAAUCCAUUUUCCGCAACCA